AUUGAACGCUGGCGGCAUGCUUUACACAUGCAAGUCGAACGGCAGCGCGGGCUUCGUCCUGGCGGCGAGUGGCGAACGGGUGUGUAAUGCAUCGGAACGUGCCCAGUAGUUGGGGAUAGCCCCGCGAAAGCCGUCUUAAUACCGCCUACGACCUGAGGGUGAUAGCGGGGGACCUUUAGGCCUCCCGCUCUUUUAUCUGCCGAUGUCGGUUUUGCUAGUUGGUGGGGUAAAGGCUUACCAAGGCGACGAUCCGUAGCUGGUCUGAGAGGACGACCAGCCACACUGGGACUGAGACACGGCCCAGACUCCUACGGGAGGCAGCAGUGGGGAAUGUUGGACAAUGGGGGCAAGCCUGAUCCAGCAAUGCCGCGUGCGGGAAGAAGGCCUUCGGGUUGUAAACCGCUUUUGGUCGGGAAGAAAACCUGUGGGAUAAUACCCCGGGGGGAUGACGGUACCGGAAGAAUAAGCACCGGCUAACUACGUG
rnacentral:rRNA from 1 species